AGUCAUCUCUCCUCUCCCCCUUCGCCAUUGGAUAGUGGAAGGCCCCGCCCACAUCGUUUGCUCCAACCACAGCUCUUCAGGGUAACAAAGACUCCAGCGGCUGAGGUGGUUCAGAAGUGUUUGGAGCUUUCUCAAGACAGGCCUGUGUCUGUUCUGGAUAAUGAACGAUUUACUGUACAAAGUUUACUAGAAAGAGGCCCAGCGCCUUUUGUGCUGGUGCUGCUUCUGAGGCUGAAUCUAUUGCGCAUUUUGUUUGGCGCUCCUGGUGUGGGACCGUGGCCUGUCACACUCCUGCAGCUACCCAACUACACAAAUUCACAUACACUCAUGAACACUGAAAAACACUUGAAAAUACUAUAAAUAUAUUAGUGAUACUGUAUAUUGGAAACAUAUCAAAAUCACAAAUUCACCCCCCCAAAAAAAAAGGAAAUUUAAUUACUCUCAGGUCAUCUAAAAUAUAGGUGAGUUUGUUUUUCAUUGGAACAGAUUUGGAGAAAUACAGCAUUACAUCACUUGCUUGCCAGUGGAUCCUCUGCAGUGAAUGGGUGCCGUCAGAAUGAGAGUCCAAAGAGCUACUUGUGCUUACUUGUGGAUUAUUAUGUUUUUAUCAGCUGUUUGAGCACUUACUAUUUAUCUCUUUGUUUAGCUGUGAAUUAUAUUUUUUGAUGCCUUAUUUCACAGAAAUUAAAUUUUACUUUAUGCAAGAUGUAGUUUAUAUUGAGAAAUAACAUUUCAACAGUGUUUAUUUAAAAAUACUGACCAAAACAUACAUCUGUAUUUACAUCUGAAGUAAAUAUAUGAAAUGUUGUCUUUCAGGUGAAUGGUGUUCUGCCGUUGUUGCCCCUGACUUUCCCCCUGCUUUGGGUUCUUGUGUGCAUGUACGGAGAGGCCCGUGUUCUUCUACUGAUGGGCUCACAGCCAGCGGACUGGUGGGAAAUGUGGAAGUUGACCUGAAAGAAACGUUACUCAGUGUUCUGGUGUCAAACAUCGACACUCUGCCACAAUGCUAGUUUGCCACACAGUCUGGGAUCUGUGACUGUAAGUGCAAAAGACAUCAGGCACAAAACGGUGCUGAAGGCACAAUUAAAUAUAUGCAUGUCAUUGCAUUCAGCAUCAGCUGGCAUCUGAAAACAAAUUGUGUUUAAAAUAAUUGCCAUUUGUGUUUAUAUUUGAUCAAAUGCAAUGGAAUUCAUACAUUUUUAUCUGUGUGUAUUCUGUUUGAAUUAUAGCUUACCUACUGUACAAUACAUUGCAUUAUGUUUCCUGUGAUACACACACACACUGAGUGAUGCUGGGGCAGUAAAUGUUAUUUUAUCUCUCUCAGGGUAAUUCAAUACUGUCACAAGAGCUUUUGAGUGUGUUCCAGAAUGCAGUUUGUUACAGUAUCAGUAUGCAAGAAUAUGAACUAAUGUGAACUUUGUUUUCUCUGCACUUCUCAUGAUUACAUUUCUGAAAAUGUUUUCAUAAAUAUAACAAAAUAUCUUGAUAUAUCUCAAGAUAUCUAAAUGGGCCACGAUUAAGAACCAAGAUAUUUGUGAAAAAAACCAUGGAAGAAACAAGUAUCAGAAAGUACAAAGAAAGUAAAAAUAUGUUAAUUUUUUUUAUAUAUUUCAAUGCCAAAAAAAAACACACGGGUGCAGUUUGAUGACACAUGCUGGCAGCGUCACGCCCCCUCUCUUCGGCCUCUGGGAUUGGCUUUGCAGUUGGUCCACUGUGACCCUGGUGUCGUCACCCGCAUACUCCACCUCUCCGACCACCUGACCCAUGCCGCGCUGGUGCGCACUCGACCCCCAUGUCAGCCGGUCCGCCCACCCUGGGGCCUCUGCCAUUUACCGAGGAUUCUGGGCUUCUCCACCUCCGCGAAAGAGCCUUUUCUGCAGAGAAUGAGUGCGGCAGCCUACACCCUGCCCUCCAUCUCCUGCCCUGGAGACCCGGGGAUCAUUGCUCCACCUUCUGUGUGAAUGAGACACCUCUCAUAGCCUUGCUGGUGCACCACACUU